rnacentral:rRNA from 1 species
CAACCAGGGAUUGCCCCAGUAACGGCGAGUGAAGCGGCAACAAGCUCAAAUUUGAAAUCUGGCCCCCCGGGGCCCCGAGUUGUAAUUUGCAGAGGAUGCUUUUGGCGCGGUGCCUUCCGAGUUCCCUGGAACGGGACGCCAUAGAGGGUGAGAGCCCCGUCUGGUCGGACGCCUAGCCUGUGUAAAGCUCCUUCCACGAGUCGAGUAGUUUGGGAAUGCUGCUCUAAAUGGGAGGUAUAUGUCUUCUAAGCUAAAUACCGGCCAGAGACCGAUAGCGCACAAGUAGAGUGAUCGAAAGAUGAAAAGCACUUUGAAAAGAGGGUUAAAUAGUACGUGAAAUUGUUGAAAGGGAAGCGCUUGUGACCAGACUUGGGCCCGGUGGAUCAUCCAGCGUUCUCGCUGGUGCACUCCGCCGGGUUCAGGCCAGCAUCAGUUCGCCGCGGGGGAAAAAGGCUUCGGGAACGUGGCUCCUACGGGAGUGUUAUAGCCCGUUGCAUAAUACCCUGGGGCGGACUGAGGUUCGCGCUCCGCAAGGAUGCUGGCGUAAUGGUCAUCAGCGACCCGUCUUGAAACACGGACCAAGGAGUCGUCUUCGUAU